rnacentral:rRNA from 1 species
UAGCCGUAAACGAUACUCGCUAGGUGUCGGCCACGGUGCGACCGUUGUCGGUGCCGUAGGGAAGCCGUGAAGCGAGCCACCUGGGAAGUACGGCCGCAAGGCUGAAACUUAAAGGAAUUGGCGGGGGGAGCACAACAACGGGUGGAGCUUGCGGUUUAAUUGGAUUCAACGCCGGAAAUCUUACCGGGACCGACAGCAACAUGAAGGCCAGGCUGAAGACUUUGCCGGAUUAGCUGAGAGGUGGUGCAUGGCGUAGACGUCU